rnacentral:rRNA from 1 species
GAUCCUGGCUCAGGACGAACGCUGGCGGCGUGCUUAACACAUUCAAGUCGAACGGAAAGGCCCUGCUUUUGUGGGGUGCUCGAGUGGCGAACGGGUGAGUAACACGUGAGUAACCUGCCCUUGACUUUGGGAUAACUUCAGGAAACUGGGGCUAAUACCGGAUAGGAGCUCCUGCUGCAUGGUGGGGGUUGGAAAGUUUCGGCGGUUGGGGAUGGACUCGCGGCUUAUCAGCUUGUUGGUGGGGUAGUGGCUUACCAAGGCUUUG